AGUUGCAUUACAGGGCAAAGAUCUCCAUUGGCAGGCUGCCACUUUGGGUCACGAACCGAAUUAUGUGUUCCUAUAGUGUGCCUUCUGCCAAAGGAGAUUUGCCCGGCAAUUCUUCC
rnacentral:pre_miRNA from 1 species